rnacentral:piRNA from 1 species
UGAAUUUCCAAAUGGAACUCC